rfam:Oryza glumipatula chromosome 1, whole genome shotgun sequence.
AAAAAGUAUAGUUUUACACUGUUCAUAUCCAACGUUUGACCAUUCGUCUUGUUUAAAACUUUUUUAUAAUUAGCAUUUAUGUUGUUAUUAGAUGAAUAAAUAUGAAUAGUACUUUAUAUAUGAUUAAUUUUUUCAAAUAAGACGGACGGUGAAAUGUUAGAUACGAAAACCCACACCUGCACCUUAU